CCUCCCAGACCCUCCCAUCUCCUGGACAGAAUGCAGCUUCACAAUGAAUGUAAAAUGGAUGCUGUCCAGGAGGUGGGAGGGUCUGGGAGG